UCGGCGGGCAGCGAGGGGCCAGGCUGCGGAGGCAACUUUUGAAUGGCUGAAAGUUGAGCGCAACCCGCCCCGCAAGAACAGCGAUGUUGGUUUUGGGAAGGAAGCUAGACCAACAUUUCCCUGCUUCUCUCCCCCCCCCCCCCCAAUCCCCGGGACCCGGCCGGCAGAGAGAGAGAGAUCGGAGAGAAAGAAGUUGUUGCAGACUUACUGGAAACUGGCUGCUUUAAGGGGCCUCUUUAAGAAAAAUCUCCCCGUCGAAAACAACCACCGUGGGCCACUCGAACUGAAAAGAUUGCAAGGAUAAAGAUUCGUUCACCCAGCGCUGGAUAAUGAAGGGCGAAGUCCCGCGAAAAUCCGAAAGCCGCCGGUCUCGGCUUUUUAAAGCGCAAAAACCGAAAGCUCCCCAGCUUCAGAUCGGAGAGCGUUGGUUGGUCUUUUGACAAAUUGACUUUUUUCUCUCUGCUUCGCUCCUCUCCGGAUCCCUGUCGCUGUAUAUACAGGGGGUGAAAGCUCACGAUAGAGACCCUUGGAAACUGCGGAGCGGGGCUUUUCCACGCUACCAAAUACCUCCCAAAUACCCGAAAAGAUUUUUUAUUUUGGUGUGCGGUUUUCAAACGAGAUACAUUAACUGGUGGCACCCACGGCCCCUACGAAAUACCCAAAGCCUUUCUCGUCCUCCCCGCUCCGCCAAAGCUGUAUUUUCUUCCACUUCAGCAUUUAUUUUCCGAUUAAUAAAAUAAAUAAACCAAUCUAAAAUGAAGCGAUCCGGCAAGAUCCGGCGUAUUUAAAUCCGCCCGUUUCAUGCAGUUGGGUUUUUCGUUUUUUUUGUUUUGAGG